GGGGACCCGCACAAGCGGUGGAGUAUGUUCUUAAUUCGAUGCAACGCGAAGAACCUUACCUGGACUUGACAUCCGCCGGAAUUACCAUGAAAAUGGUGAGUGCCCACUUUGUGGGAAUCGCGUGACAGGUGCUGCAUGGCUGUCGUCAGUUCGUGUCGUGAGAUGUUGGGUUAAGUCCCGCAACGAACGCAACCCCCUAUCUCUAGUUGCCAGCAUUAAGUUGGGGACUCUAGAGAGACUGCCAAGGUGACAACUUGGAGGAAGGUGGGGACGACGUCAAGUCAUCAUGGUCCUUACGUCCAGGGCUAGAAACGUACUACAAUGGUUGGUACAGAGGGCGGCUGCACAGCGAUGUGUGGCAAAUCCCAAAAACCAACCUCAGUUCGGAUUGGAGUCUGCAACUCGACUCCAUGAAGUUGGAAUCGCUAGUAAUCGCGGAUCAGCAAUGCCGC
rnacentral:rRNA from 1 species